rnacentral:rRNA from 1 species
GACGAACGCUGGCGGCGUGCCUAAUACAUGCAAGUCGAACGCACAGUUUAUACCGUCUCUUGCUCCACCAUAUACUGUCAGUUGCGAACGUGUGAGUAACGCGUCGUUCACCUUCCUGUUAGCGGGCUAUAACUAUUGGUAACUAUAGCUAAUACCGCAUAAUAUUUAUUAUUGCAUUAUAAUUAAUUUAAAGUUGCAAUUGCACCACUACCAGAUUGCCCUGCGUUGUAUUAGGUAGUAGGUGAGGUAACGGCUCACCUAGGCGGAGAUACAUAGCCGACCUGAGAAGGGGAUAGGCCAAACCUGGACCGAGACACGGGCCAGAAUCCUACGGGAGGCAGCAGGAGGGAAUCUUCGGGAAUGGACGAAAGUCCGAACGAGGAACGGCGCGGGAGUGAAGAAGGUAUUCGGAUCGUAAAGGUCUGGUGGAAAGGAAGAAAGGGUGGGAGAGUGGAAAGUUCAAACAGUGACGGUAUCUAACCAGAAAGGGACGGCUAACUACGUG